rnacentral:rRNA from 1 species
GAUUAUGGCUCAGGAUGAACGCUGGCGGCGUGCCUAACACAUGCAAGUCGAACGAAGCAUAACUGACGGAGAUUCGUCGAAGCCGGAUAUGACUUAGUGGCGGACGGGUGAGUAAUGUAUGAGCAACCUGCCUUUCAGAGGGGACAACAGUUGGAAACGACCGCUAAUACCGCAUAAUGUAUUUUGGUGGCAUCACCGAGAUACCAAAGGAGCAAUCCGCUGAAAGAUGGGCCCAUAUCUGAUUAGCUAGUUGGCGGGGUAACGGCCCACCAAGGCGACGAUCAGUAGCCGGACUGAGAGGUUGAACGGCCACAUUGGGACUGAGAUACGGCCCAGACUCCUACGGGAGGCAGCAGUGGGGAAUAUUGGGCAAUGGGCGAAAGCCUGACCCAGCAACGCCGCGUGAAGGAAGAAGGUCUUCGGAUUGUAAACUUCUUUUAUGAGGGACGAAGGACGUGACGGUACCUCAUGAAUAAGCCACGGCUAACUACGUGCCAGCCGCCGC